AUACUAAAACUCAAUACAAAAUUACUGUUCAUUAACUGUAAACGGGCGAAAAUGCCCUCCAAUUCCUUUGUUAUUUGCAUUUUUUUCCUUUUUUUUUACAGUUAAAAGACGACUUUGCCCUUUGUCUCCACCCGUAGAUCACUUCUCAGCUUCUGUUGUUUUCAAUGGCAUAAAUGCCCUCCGAUUCUUCUCCAUUAUGCGUUUGUCCACGCGUCGCUCAUCGCUCUGCACGACCUUUCUUCUCGACUUUUCCCUCCGUUCCACUUUUUUCCCUCACAAUUCCCUGCUCUUGAACCUCGAUUCCUUUCGCUUUCCAAAGCUGCCUUCUCUCCUUCUCCGACCCUGCGAGCUUUGUCUCACAAAUUACCAACCGCACUUUCUUGCUGAAAAACCACCUAACUUGUAGAAGUUUCUUCGGUUCUUCGGUUGGAUUCGGAGAAAUUUUUUACCUAGAAAAGCUAGCGUUUCCUGGGGACCCUGGUUUUUCCUUUUUUGCGGUUUUGUAACUCAAGGCUUUGGAGAGUAACAGCCACGAAUCCGGGGCUCCGAUUGAAUUGGGUUGUUCUUGCAAGGAUGAUUUGGCUGCUGCCCACAAGAACUGUGCUGGUACUUUGGUUCAAGGUUAAGGGCAACAAG